GAUGAACGCUGGCGGCGUGCCUAAUACAUGCAAGUCGAGCGAACGGACGAGAAGCUUGCUUCUCUGAUGUUAGCGGCUGACGGGUGAGUAACACGUGGAUAACCUACCUAUAAGACUGGGAUAACUUCGGGAAACCGGAGCUAAUACCGGCUAAUAUUUUGAACCGCAUGGUUCAAAAGUGAAAGAGGGUCUUGCUGUCACUUAUAGAUGGAUCCGCGCUGCAUUAGCUAGUUGGUAAGGUAACGGCCUACCAAGGCAACGAUGCAUAGCCGACCUGAGAGGGUGAUCGGCCACACUGGAACUGAGACACGGUCCAGACUCCUACGGGAGGCAGCAGUAGGGAAUCUUCCGCAAUGGGCGAAAGCCUGACGGAGCAACGCCGCGUGAGUGAUGAAGGUCUUCGGAUCGUAAAACUCUGUUAUUAGGGAAGAACAUAUGUGUAAGUAACUGUGCACAUCUUGACGGUACCUAAUCAGAAAGCAACGGCUAACUACGUG
rnacentral:rRNA from 1 species